rnacentral:rRNA from 1 species
UACAGAGGUCUCAAGCGUUGUUCGGAUUCAUUGGGCGUAAAGGGUGCGUAGGUGGCGCCAUAAGUCGGGUGUGAAAUCUCGGGGCUUAACUCCGAAACUGCAUUCGAUACUGUGGUGCUUGAGGACUGGAGAGGAGACUGGAAUUCAUGGUGUAGCAGUGAAAUGCGUAGAGAUCAUGAGGAAGACCAGUGGCGAAGGCGGGUCUCUGGACAGUUCCUGACACUGAGGCACGAAGGCCAGGGGAGCAAACGGG